GACGAACGCUGGCGGCGUGCUUAACACAUGCAAGUCGAACGAAGUGGCGAACGGGUGAGUAACGCGUAAUCAACCUGCCCUUCAGAGGGGGACAACAGUUGGAAACGACUGCUCAUACCGCAUACUGAAGGAGGGGCUUGCGUCUGAUUAGCUAGUUGGAGGGGGAACGGCCCACCAAGGCGAUGAUCAGGAGCCGGGCUGAGAGGAGGAACAGCCACAGUGGGAAUGGGAAACGGCCCAGACUCCUACGGGAGGCAGCAGGGGGGAAUCUUCCGCAAUGGACGAAAGGCUGACGGAGCAACGCCGCGGGAGUGAUGACGGCCUUCGGGUUGUAAAGCUCUGUUAAUCGGGACGCGGUACCGGAAUAGAAAGCCACGGCUAACUACGUGCCAGCAGCCGCGGUAAUAC
rnacentral:rRNA from 1 species